ensembl:miRNA MIR222 microRNA 222
UGCUCAUGAGGUGCUCAGUAGUCAGUGUAGAUCCUGUAUUCUAAUCAGCAGCUACAUCUGGCUACUGGGUCUCUGAUGGCAUUUUCCACU